AUUGAACGCUGGCGGCAUGCCUUACACAUGCAAGUCGAACGGUAACAGGACUUCGGAUGCUGACGAGUGGCGAAUGGGUGAGCAAAAAAUCGGAACGUGCCUCGUAGUGGGGUAUAACUACUCGAAAGAGUGGCUAAUACUGCAUGUAACCUACGUAUGAAAGCAGGGGAACGCAAGACAUAGUGCUACUAUAGCGACCGAUGGCAGAGAAGGUAGUUGGGGGGAGAAAAUCUUACCAAGCCGACGAUCUGAAGCUGGUCUGAGAGAACGAUCAGCCACACUAGGACUGGGACACGGCCCAGACUCCUAAGGGAAGCAGCAGUGGGAAAUGUUGGACAAUGGGCGCAAGCCUGAUCCAGCAAUUCCGCGUGCAGAGUGAAGGCUUUCGGGUUGUAAACUGCUUUUGUACGGAACGAAAAGCCCUGGGUUAAUACCCUGGGGUCAUGACAGUACCGUAAGAAUAAGCACCAGCUAACUACGUGCCAGCCGCCGCCGUAA
rnacentral:rRNA from 1 species